GGAAGAUGCUCUGAUUCUUGACCUUGUUGUGAAGCAGGGGAAUAAGAAAUGGUCAGAAAUAGCAAAACAUUUACCUGGCCGCAUAGGGAAGCAAUGCCGAGAAAGGUGGUACAACCAUUUGAACCCAGAGAUAAAAAGAACUGCUUGGACCAAAGAGGAAGAAUUGACUCUCAUCAAGGCCCAUAAAAUAUAUGGGAAUAAGUGGGCUGAGCUAGCGAAGUUUCUUCAUGGAAGGACUGAGAAUUCAAUAAAGAAUCACUGGAACUGCUCAAUGAAAAAGAAAUUAGAAUCAUGUCCGGCUUCUGAAUUUGACCUAUACAGUUAUAACACAACAGCAGAAAGCAGGACAUUUGACGUGGACAAUCAAAGCCUGAACUUAGUGCAUUCUUGUUCAUUGGAUUUGGGUCUUGGAAAUGCUACGACAAGAGAGCGUCAAUUGUCAACUUCAGAUAAACAAAAUUGUAAAUAUCCAGAAAUAGAAUCAACAUUUGGAACCAUGGAUGCUAGAGCUUUAACUGCAUUCUAUCUAACUGGUGUAAAGUGCAGAAAAAGUGACAAUAAUGCCAACACUAACUGGUCCAAUAAAUUAAUUAAUGCUUCUUCGGAUGAUGUUGCAAGGCUUCAAUCUCCUGAGCUAUCAAAAACUGUAAAUUCUUUGCAUUCUGGAGCACUUUCUGUACCUUUGACUCUUUCUUUGACUACUCCUAUCGGUGUUGCAGGUUAUGAUAAUAAAACAGGCGAAUUUGAUUUUAAAAGGAAAGUUGUUGGAGGCUUUAAAGAUGUGAAGGAACUUAAUUGUGGUGUCUUGAGUUAUGAAUCACUCCAACUUAAAGAUGGGAAUAUUCUUCUUCAAAAUGUAAGUUAUUCAAGUACUGAUAGCUGCAUUAGAACAGCAGGUAGUCCAGUUUCCUCAUGUGCUCUAGCAAACCAAAUUUCUCAUAAUUGGGGCAGUCCUGAAUCCAUAUUGAGGAGCGCUGCAAGUAGCUUCAAAAGCACACCAUCAAUAAUAAGAAAAAGAAGUUUUAAAACUUCAAGGCAAGCUGACAAUGCUACUCAUUGUGAUCAUGUUUGCAAACUAGAAGACAAUGUAGAGAACCUGUCACUGCAUUUAUGUACCUGUAACAAAGAUGGUGACAAUAAAAUGGAUCCAUCAAAUGAAAAGCAGCCUUUUCUUUCUCCUGCAAAGUCUCAGAAGCUUGAAAAAUGCUUGGAAGAUGCAUUUAAUGUAGAAUGUCAUUCAGACAGUGAAAGAUCUAGAGCAUUUGCUUCUCAUGAUUCUUGUGGUGACAACUAAAACAAAGUCGUCUUUUUUUUUAUUGUUAUCAAGAACUGAUGUUGCAUUUUGAACAGAAAGAUGGAGUUUCACUCGAUGUUACUUAAUGUAUAUGAUUGUAAAAGAUUUUGAGUCCUUGGGAAGGAUGACCGGCACGCAAACUACAACCUAUACCAUAGAUGAUAACAUAAAGCUAUAGAAUAAUAACCAAUUUAAUUUUCAUAUUUAUGGUUAAUGUGGGAAGACAAAUAAUGAUA
rnacentral:misc_RNA from 1 species